rnacentral:lncRNA from 1 species
ACACCUACAGGUUAUGAACCUGCUAGCGUUCCACUGGACUGUCUAGAAAGAGUCUGUGGUCGUUAUCCAUACUCCGCUGAAUAACUAGAUCAACAACAACAACAACAUCGAGGCCUCUCAUCUGUUUAUUACACACCAACUAUCUACCCAUGUUCUACCCAACAUAUUAGUAGAUAAAAAUAUAUAUUUUCAUACAUAGUUUAAAACCUGUAUAUCAUUUUCAUUCAAUACAUAUUCCACAUAACAGAUGAGGCACACCCACAUAACACGUAUUUCAUAGGAAAUAAAUCAGAUCUAUGAGAUAGAAGAGAAUGAAUAUACAUUCACACAUAUAACAACAAAAUUAUACACAUAAACAACAAUAUACUUAAUACACUCAAACCAUACUUGUAUUAUUAUCGUGUUUAUGAAAGGUAGUAUACACUCACUUGAUCAGAAGAUGAUCGGACAGCACUACGACUUGCAGAAGUAGUAAUCCUCAGCAGAUCUGGAAGAUCUCCACAAAAAUCGAACUUCUCGCGGGCAGAGCUUCGGCUCGGGAACCGCACUUCUCAGGAUCUUUAGGAUCUCGAGACUUGCUUCGGGGCUCGGGAAUGGUACCGGGGCUUCGGGGUACUUCUGGCACGCAAAUCGAGGUAAAACGGGAGAGAGAAGAGAGAAAAGAGCAAAAGAACUCAGCUGCCCUCGCAUCCUAUUUAUAGGAGGCUGGAGCCUCGGAGUACGCGGGGCGUAUUGCGUUACGCGGGGCGUACUGCCUCAGAAUCGUCAUUGCUUACGUAUCCGAAGAACUCGAGUGCGAGGCGUGUCAUGCUUCGCUGUACGCGGGGCGUACGCUAGUACGCUGGGCGUACUUCGGAUGAGUCCGAUGACUCCUCUUCGGAUAAUGCCAGGUUUAAUAAUUACAUUUAAUUAUUAAUUAUUUAAUAAAUUUCGAAAAUUCAUAUCUUCUUCAUACGAACUCCGUUUUCGACGUUCUUUAUAUCCACGCGUAGGUGAGACUAUGCUCUACAACUUUCGUUUAGACCCCGUCGGCUGCUUUUAACUUUAUUUUUAUUAUUUAUUUUUAAUAGGCCGAGACAGAAAAACUUCGUUAUAAAUUCAUAACUUCUUCGUUUGACGUCCGUUCUCGCCUAACUUUUUAUCGCUUCGAUACCAACAACGAGACCUUCGAUCCUCGUUUAGAUUGCUUCGGCUAAAAACCGCUCGAUCUCAAAUCGAGUAUUUCAGGCUGCAUACCGCUAAGUCGAAACUUCAGAAAAUCGUAACUUCCUCAUAUGAAGUCAGAUUUGGGCGUUCUUUAUAUAUUCGGAAACCUCGUUUCAACUACUACAAUAUUAUCCAAAGAUAUCAAGUUUAUUUUACACUUAAAUUUUGACGCUUAUUUUUAUUCUUAAUUAAUCCAACCACAUAAUUAAGCAAUUAAGCACAAAACACAUAAUACUCAAAUAAUACACUCUUAUUAUUUCAAAACGGGUUACAAAGGUUAACCUAGACUAUUACAUUGCUAAAAAUGGCAAGCCCGGAAACACAGGCGUUACAAUUCUCUCCACCUUAGAAUGAUUCCGUCCCCGGAAUCACACAUCAACAAACAAAUGCGGAUAGCGACUCAACAUGUCACUCUCCGUCUCCCAGGUGAGAUUCGGCCCAUUCGUGUGUUUCCAUCGGACAAGCACUAACCCAACCAUUUUGCGUCGCAACUUCUUAGUCUUUCGGUCAACAAUUGCCUCUGGUUCUUCAAUCAACCUUUUGUUCUCAUCAAUUCUCAAUUCAGAAAUUGGAAUUAUAUCGGGAACUUCUCCCGUGAACUUCCUCAAAUAACACACAUGAAAAGUGUUGUGAAUUCCAUUCAGUUCUUCGGGUAAUUCGAGCUUGUAAGCUUGGUUCCCAAUCCUCUGAAGGACUUUAAACGGUCCAAUAAACCUUGGACUCAACUUUCCCCUUUUACCAAAUCUUAUAAGUCCCUUCCACGGCGAGACUUUAAGCAAAACCGAAUCUCCAACCUCAAAAGUCAUCGGUCUUCGCUUCUUGUCAGCAUAGCUCUUUUGACGAUCUUGAGCUGCUAACAUUCUUUCCCUAAUUAUUUUCAACUUUUCAGCAGUUUGAUGAACCAUCUCCGGUCCCAUAAACUGCUUUUCCCCAGCCUCAAGCCAACAAGACGGCGUACGACACUUCUGUCCAUACAAAGCUUGAUAAGGUGCCAUCUUAAUGCUCGAGUGAAAACUAUUAUUAUAGGAAAAUUCUACCAACGGUAAAUGUUCAUCCCAAUUACCUAGGAAUUCCAAGGUACAUGCUCUCAGCAUAUCUUCAAGUGUUUGUAUUGUUCUUUCACUCUGACCAUCAGUCUGCGGAUGGUAAGCUGUGCUUAAACAUAACUUGGUACCCAUUUCCUCUUGUAGACUUUUCCAAAACCUUGAGGUGAAACGGCUAUCACGAUCCGAUACAAUCGUUAACGGAACACCGUGAAGCCUCACAAUUUCCUUCACGUAAGAAUUCGCAAGCUUUUCCAUAGACCAUUUCUCCCUGGCCGCUAUGAAAUGCGCACUCUUAGUGAAUCGAUCAACGACCACCCAAAUCAUGUCGUGACCAUUCUUUGUUCUGGGCAGUUUAGUGACAAAAUCCAUAGCAAUGUCUUCCCACUUACCCAUAGGCACAGGCAAAGGUUCUAAACUCCCGUACGGUUUCUGAUGUUGUGUCUUGACUCUCGCACAAGUCACACACUCGGCCACAUACUUUGCAACAUCAAGCUUCAUCGUCGGCCACCAGUAGUAGGGUUUCAGGUCCCUAUACAUUUUAGUGCUACCGGGAUGAAUCGAGUACAUGGUUUUGUGAGCUUCUUCCAUCAGAAGAUCUCUGACUCCUCCUGUCUUAGGUAUCCAAAUCCGAUCUUGGAACACCUUCAGUCCGUGACUGUUUACACCGAACACCAACGUUUUGCCCAAACGUUCCUCCUUUCGGUCAUUCUUCUCAGAAGCUUCGCUUUGAGCUUUCUUUAUACUUUCCAAAAUAGUCGAGACAACUUCAAUUCUCAACGCUCUUGGCCUUCUCCUUUCAAGAUUGACUUUCCGACUGAGAGCAUCAGCAACAACAUUAGCUUUACCGGGGUGGUAAAGUAUCUCACAGUCGUAGUCUUUAAGUAAUUCUAGCCAGCGUCGUUGCCUCAUAUUCAAUUCUUUCUGAUUAAAGAGAUAUUGGAGACUCUUAUGAUCAGUGAAAAGUUUGCACUUCGUGCCAUAGAGGUAAUGCCUCCAUAUUUUCAGUGCGAAAACUACCGCUGCCAACUCCAAAUCAUGAGUCGGGUAGUUCUUUUCGUGCUCUUUCAGCUGUCGAGACGCAUAUGCGAUCACCUUAUCCCUUUGGGUCAAAACGCAACCCAAUCCAACCCCAGACGCAUCGCUAUAAACAGCGAAGUCUUCAACUCCAUCGGGUAGAGAAAGUAUCGGUGCCUCGCAUAGUUUCUUCUUUAGCUUCUCGAAUGCUUCUUUAUGCUUAUCACUCCAAGCAUAAGUAGCUCCUUUGUGGGUCAAAGCUGUUAAUGGACUAGCGAUCGAAGAAAAGCCUUGGAUAAACCUUCGGUAAUAUCCGGCUAAUCCUAAAAAGCUUCGGAUCUCCGUGGGACUUUUCGGUUGUUCCCACUUCAUCACAGCUUCGAUCUUCGCUGGAUCAACCAUUAUCCCUUCUUGGUUGACCACGUGACCCAAGAAUUGGACUUCACGAAUCCAGAAAUCACAUUUGGAGAACUUCGCAUACAACUUCUCCUUCUUCAAGACUUCUAACACUUCUCGCAAGUGUCUGCCAUGCUCCUCUUGGCUUUUUGAAUAAAUCAGAAUGUCAUCUAUGAACACUAUCACAGAUUUAUCAAGGAACGGAUUACAAACUCUGUUCAUUAAAUCCAUGAAUGCUGCUGGAGCAUUGGUUAGUCCAAACGACAUAACCAAGAACUCAUAGUGUCCAUAUCGCGUUCUGAAUGCAGUCUUCUCUAUAUCCUGCUCCCUUACUUUCAGCUGAUGAUAUCCUGACCUCAGGUCGAUCUUUGAAAAAUAACUUGAACCUUGUAGUUGAUCGAAUAGGUCAUCAAUCCUCGGCAACGGAUAUCUAUUCUUUAUUGUUGCCUUAUUCAGCUCUCGGUAAUCAAUGCACAUCCUCAUGCUUCCAUCUUUCUUCUUUACGAAUAACACCGGAGCUCCCCAGGGUGAUGAACUAGGUCUAAUGAAACCUUUGUCCAAUAACUCCUGAAGUUGCAUCAUUAGCUCCUUCAUCUCCGUCGGUGCUAAUCGAUAAGGUGCUUUUGCAAUUGGCGUUGUUCCGGGCAACAAGUCGAUACGAAAUUCUACUUGUCGAUCGGGCGGUAAUCCAGGAAGAUCUUCGGGAAAUACUUCCGGAUAAUCACACACAACAGGAAUAUUUUGCAUCACCUUCUUUUCCUUCUUAGCAUCGAUCACGAAUGCUAAGUAUGAUGUACACCCCUUGGUCAAACAUUUUCUGGCUUUCAUUAGAGAAAUGAUUCCAGAAUUUACUCUGCGUUUAUCUCCGUACACCAUAAACGAUUCCUUCCCAGGCGGGUUCACUUUCACUAUUUUCUUCUUGCAUAAAAUUUCGGCAUCAUUGGCGCUAAGCCAAUCCAUUCCCAAAACGAUGUCGAAACCGUUAAGUUCGAUAGGCAAUAAUUCCUCGUGGAACUUAUUUCCAUUCAGAUCAAUUAAGAUGUUUUUCAUACGAUGGCUAACAGGUACAAACUUGCCACUAGCAACUUCGACUAAUAAAGCAUUAUCUAGUCUAUCAACAGGCAAAGCUAGUUUUCUACCAAAUUCAUGCGAUAUAAAGGAGUAGUUGGCUCCAGAAUCAAAUAAAAUUUGGGCAGGCAAUUUGUUAACGAGAAAGGUACCUGAAGCGACAUCAGCUUCAUCUUUAGCAGCUUCCAGUGUCAUCUGGAAUGCUCUCGCCUUUGGCUUUGGCGGAAUGUUGGGUCUUGCUGCUUCCUUCUUUUUCGGACAAUCCCUUGAGAUGUGCCCCUCCUCACCACAACCAUAACAAACAUUUUUGGUGAAGGUGCAGUCGUUGGCAUAAUGCCCUAGCUUUCCACAUUUGAAGCAUGUGGUUUCCCCGCCACACUUCCCAUGAUGCUUCUUCUUGCACUUGUCGCACCAUUUCGCCUCUACCUUUCCUCCACUUCCUCUCGAACUAGACUUCGAGAAUUUACUUUUCUUGCUGGACCCUGAAAAUCCAUCGAUUUUCCUUUUCUCGCCAACCUCUGACCUUUCCAGACCUUUUUCCCUGAUCUGGGUCUCAACAUUUCUAGCAGCCCAGAUGGCGGCUUUCAAUGUGGUUGCUUGCUUAACCAUUGGACCAUAGUCCGCUGGUAGUCCAAGGGCAAACUUGUUGACCUUAGAGAGUUCUGUAGGCACCAAAUAUGGGAUAAACUUCAUCUUUUCUGUGAAACUUGCAGCGUAUUCAGUAACGCUCAAUUUCCCUUUCUUCAAAUUCUGAAACUCAUUACUGAUUUCCAGAAGGUCCUGCUCGGAGCAGUAUUGCAUUUUUAGUUGUUCCACAAAGUCUUCCCAAGACAUUUUGCUUGCUUCUCCCUUGGGCAUAGAGUCAGCUAACAGCUUCCACCAACUCAACACGCCAGAUUUUAGCAGAGGGAUCGCAAGAGCGGUCUUCUGCCUGUUGCUGCAUUCGCAACUUUCAAACAUAGUCUCCAUUUCGGAGACCCAGUCCAUAACUUGUACCGGCGUCGGGCUUCCGGAUAGACAUGGUGGUUUGGAUGCCAUGAAAUCCUUAUACUUGCACCCACGACCAUCAUUUCCUCCAUACUGGUUAUUGCGUCUAACCACUGGUUGUUCGUCUUGACCAAUGAUCCCACUAAAGUUUUCUCCUUCAGACUGCCCUCCAUUCUCCUCGGGCUCUUCCGCUUGAAUUGACGGUUCUUCACGAUUCUGCCUAAGCAGGCGUCUUGUUUCUUCCAUCUGACGAUCCAACAUCAUUUGAAUCAUCAUUUGUACACCAGCCAUUGUUAUCGGCUCAGGUGCAUCAGCUACGACAGGUACUUGUUGAAUUACAGGCGGUUGAUUCCUGUUUUCAUCAGCAUUUCCAACGCCACUUCUUGUUCUCACCAUUUUUGAUCUACACACCGAAUAAUUUCACCUUAUUACUCCAAACGAUUACAUGCUAGUUCUAAUAUCGUAUACAUACGCUUAGAAUCCUAAACACAUAAACCUUCAGAUCCGGUUGGCAACAAACCGUAGAUCCGAACAAAUAAUAUCAUAUAUGGCAACAUAUAACAUUUAGCACAUAAAAGCAUUUUAGGCAACUUUCCUAAAAUAAACUAGUGCUCGUGUCUAAAAUCCAACAGACACACAUCUCAAAAUUCCACUUAGCAUUCUAAGUUUAAGUCUAGAAAUCCUACAAAUUCCUAGUUCGCUUAAACUAAUGCUCUGAUACCAACUGUGACAUCCCCAAAAUCACGGCCAGAAAAGACCGAUUUCAUUUAUGCUUUUUAAAAUAAUUUCAGAGUAAAUCCUUUUGAUUUAAAAGAGUUGCGGAAUUUGUUCCCAAAACAAAACAUGAUAAAAUAAUAUUUAUCAAAGCAUUUCAUCAAGAGAUGCAUUUUCAUUAUAUAAUCAAAACUCGGGAUGUCAUGUUCCGAUACAGACCAUAAAGCAUAAACGAUAACAUUACAAGUCAUUCAACAAAUAUAUACAUAUACAGACUUGUAAACAAAACAACUCGAUGAUUCAUCCAUCUUACGCCCUUGCGCCACUUCCUGUAAUACAAAUAAAACUGAGUGGGUCAGGCUUGGGAGCCUGGUGAGCAUAUAGGGUUUUCAACCCACAAUAAAUAAAUUAUAUUUAAUUUCACCAACCAAUCACUAUCCCGAUUACCCAUUCCCGUUAUCCUCACUUUACGUCCCUAAAACAACAUCUAUCUCAAGGGACCUAAUCUAGGAUUUUCAUCGGGACGGACAUCACUGCUAAGGGGUUUCCUCAACAAUAGAUAUCCUAAAGGCAACCAUGAGGGGGAUAGAGUACACCGGUGAACACAUCGUUCACAACACCUACAGGUUAUGAACCUGCUAGCGUUCCACUGGACUGUCUAGAAAGAGUCCGUGGUCGUUAUCCAUACUCCGCUGAAUAACUAGAUCAACAACAACAACAACAUCGAGGCCUCUCAUCUGUUUAUUACACACCAACUAUCUACCCAUGUUCUACCCAACAUAUUAGUAGAUAAAAAUAUAUAUUUUCAUACAUAGUUUAAAACCUGUAUAGCAUUUUCAUUCAAUAUAUAUUCCACAUAACAGAUGAGGCACACCCACAUAACACGUAUUUCAUAGAAAAUAAUUCAGAUCUAUGAGAUAGAAGAGAGUGAAUAUACAUUCACACACAUAACAACAAAAUUAUACACAUAACACGUAUUUCGUAUAAAAUACUUCAUAAUUAUGCGUUAGAAGAAAGUAACUACACACUCACACACAUAAACAACAAUAUACUUAAUACACUCAAACCAUACUUGUAUUAUUAUCGUGUUUAUGAAAGGUAGUAUACACUCACUUGAUCAGAAGAUGAUCGGACAGCACUACGACUUGCAGAAGUAGUAAUCCUCAGCAGAUCUGGAAGAUCUUCACAAAAAUCGAACUUCUCGCGGGCAGAGCUUCGGCUCGGGAACCGCACUUCUCGGGAUCUUCGGGAUCUCGGGACUUGCUUCGGGGCUCGAGAAUAAUACCGGGGCUUCGGGGUACUUCUGGCACGCAAAUCGAUGCAAAACGGGAGAGAGAAGAGAG